rnacentral:rRNA from 1 species
UUUGAUCAUUGGCUCAGGAUGAACGCUGACAGAAUGCUUAACACAUGCAAGUCGAUGGGGAAGUGGUGCUUGCACCAUGGUAACCAUGGCGGACGGGUGAGUAACGCGUAAGGGACUUACCUGCAGGACUGGGAUAACAGGGGGAAACUCCUGACAAGACCGGAUAAUGUCAUGGAGCUGCAUGGCUUUAUGAUGAAAGGAGACGCCUGCGGAGAGCCUUGCGUCCUAUUAGCUAGUUGGUGAGGUAAGAGCUCACCAAGGCGAAGAUAGGUAGCCGGCCUGAGAGGGUGGACGGCCACAAGGGGACUGAGAUACGGCCCUUACUCCUACGGGAGGCAGCAGUGGGGAAUAUUGGACAAUGGGGGCAACCCUGAUCCAGCAAUUCUGUGUGCACGAAGAAGGUUUUCGGAUUGUAAAGUGCUUUCAGCAGGGAAGAAGGAAGUGACGGUACCUGCAGAAGAAGCGACGGCUAAAUACGUGCCAGCAGCCGCGGUAAUACGUAUGUCGCGAGCGUUAUCCGGAAUUAUUGGGCAUAAAGGGCAUCUAGGCGGCCUGACAAGUCAGGGGUGAAAACCUGCGGCUCAACCGCAGGCCUGCCUUUGAAACUGUGAGGCUGGAGUACCGGAGAGGUGGACGGAACUGCACGAGUAGAGGUGAAAUUCGUAGAUAUGUGCAGGAAUGCCGAUGAUGAAGAUAGUUCACUGGACGGUAACUGACGCUGAAGUGCGAAAGCCGGGGGAGCAAACAGGAUUAGAUACCCUGGUAGUCCCGGCUGUAAACGAUGAUUACUGGGUGUGGGCAGGAAGACUGUCUGUGCCGAAGCAAAUGCGAUAAGUAAUCCGCCUGGGGAGUACGGCCGCAAGGCUGAAACUCAAAGGAAUUGACGGGGACCCGCACAAGCGGUGGAGCAUGUGGUUUAAUUCGACGCAACGCGAGGAACCUUACCAGAUCUUGACAUCCCGCGAAUGCCCGUGAAGACGGGCAGUGCCUUCGGGAACGCGGAGACAGGUGGUGCAUGGCUGUCGACAGCUCGUGUCGUGAGAUGUUGGGUUAAGUCCCGCAACGAGCGCAACCCCUGUUGCUAGUUACCAUCAUUAAGUUGGGGACUCUAGCAAGACUGCCUGCGGAGAGCAGGAGGAAGGUGGGGAUGACGUCAAGUCAUCAUGCCCCUUAUGAUCUGGGCUACACACGUGCUACAAUGGGCUGUACAGAGAGGAGCGAGGCGGUGACGCGGAGCGAAUCUUUAAAGCAGUUCGAAGUUCGGAUUGAAGUCUGCAAACUCGACUUCAUGAAGUUGGAAUCGCUAGUAAUCGCGGAAUCAGCAAAUGCCGCGGUGAAAUACGUUUCUCGGGUCUUGUCCCCACCGCCCGUCA